AAGAAAUCAAAAGUGUUUUUAUGACUGUACCUAGAUCCGACACAGGUGGCUCGGGCUUAGAAAGCCAAGACGUGAGAGGAUAAUCUUCCAAAGGGAAUUCGGCAAUUUGGCCCCGUAUCUUCGGUAUAAGGGGUGCCAGCGACCGUUAUGCGGCUGCUGGUCUCAGAUGUCAGAAACGCCCGACUGUUUAAUAAAAACACAGGUAGCUGCUAGGUGGAGACGCUUUGUAUAGCUGCCGACUUUUGCCCAGUGCACGUACUUGAAGCUUGAUUUCAACCGAGUGAAGAGCGUGUAAACGGCGGAGGUAACUGUGACCUUCUUAAGGUAGCGUAAUACCUUGUCUGUUAAUUGCAGACUUGCACGAAUAAAGUAACGAGGUGUCUAGUGUCCCUUGGAGGAGCCUCACGAACUUUCUUUUCUGGUGCAAGGGCCAGAGACUUCCAGCGGGAAGCGAAGACCCCAUAGAACUUUACUACAGGUUGUUGCUGUGUUGUUGUUGCGGUUGCAUAGAGUAGACAGUAGACGUUCCAGUGGCAUUUUUAGGGAUGUCAUUAGUCGAAAGUGUAACACUGUCCUUCCGUAAUGACAAUACUUACCCGAAAGGGGACACCAAUUGCUGGGUAGUUUGGCUGGGGUGGCACCCUCCUGAAAAAAUAUCAGGAGGAUCCAAUGGUUAGCUCAUCCGGGUUGGAAAUCCGGAGUUGAGAAUAAAGUUAAAAGCUAGCUUGACAAGGUUUUUCAUAGCGCGAAACCUUGACACGAAAGUGUGGCUUAAUGAUCCCUCGAGCUCUCUUACUGAGAGCCGAGUCUGAUAGAAAAGUUACCUUGGGGAAAACUGAGUGGUGUUGUGCUAGAGUACCCAUCGACCACAACGCUUGCUACUUCGAUGUCGGCUUUGCCUAUCCUGGGGGUGCACAAGCUCCCAAGGGUGCGGGUGUUCACCGAUUAAAAGGCAUCAUGAGCUGGGUUAAGACCGUCGUGAGACAGGUUGUUUGAUAUCUGCUGGAAGUGUUCGGAGUCUGAGUGGAAGAGAGUUUCAGUACGAAAGGAACGAGCUCUCCGUGCCUCUGGUGUACCAGUUGUCUGACAAGGCAUGCUGGGUAGCUACGCACGAGUUGGAUAAGUUCUGAAAGCAUCUAAGAACGAAGCCAUUCGCGAAAAGAGACUCCGUCAAGCGCGCCGAUAGAAGAUCGGUUUGAUAGAACUGGGAUGUAAGUAUCGAGGCAACGAGAUAUUCAGUCCACAGUCACUAACUGCGUGUAUAGUCUAAUUU
rnacentral:rRNA from 1 species